UCCUUCAUGAUGACCACAGGGAUAAACAUCAUUUGGAAAAUAGGGCAAAAGCCAAAGUUUUAGUAAUGCAUAAUUUUUCAGAAACUCAAUCCACUUCCUUCAAAGUCAGAGGUUAGUAUAUAUGUAGUCUUGCUUCCCCAUAAACCCCACCAAAAUGAUUCCUGACCCUGAGAAAUAUGGCUUUUUAAAUACAGUGUCCACACUGGUAGCCUCAUGACCAAAGCUGGAGUUUGAAGGAACUUUUUAUUUGAAGAUCAUCUUACAAGGUUCUGAAAGGCAAAUACCCACUUUGACAUAAGGUAAAUUAACAUUAAAAGCAUUCAGACAAAAUAAUGAGAAAAGGUGUGAAAUAAUAGUGACAAUGAAUAUUAGGUUAGUGGACAGGAGAGGUGUGGCAGAUUGAAAACUCAAAGUAUCUUUAGUUUGUUAUUUAACUGCACCUAAUUUGAUUUACAUGCACAUAAACAUAUAAAAAAUAAUGCACCAAGAGAAGUAAAAGCAGUUACAUUGGAAAGAUCUAUUUAAGAAUUCCAGCAUCAUCACUUGCAGAAAUUCCUCGGGGACAGUUUGUCCAGCCUCUGGUAGCCAGCAUUCUACUCUCAACGUUUUUGGCUGCCACAUACAAGUCUCACUCUGUUGCCCACACUGGAGUGCAAUAGUGCAAUCGUGGCAGCCUCAACCUCCUGGCCCCAAGUGAUCCUCCCACCUCAGCCUCCUGUCUGGGACCACAGUAACUUGACACUGUGGGAUAUGUCACAUCAGAAGUUCAUUUUAUCCAACAUCAGGGAGUUACACUUCUCAAAAUUAGAUGUCUCAUGGCUAAAAGACUGCAAUCUCUCUAUUGGCGUUGUGAACACUGGUAACGACUGAAGCUUUUCUGGCAAAAAUUACUCCUGCAUCCAGCCAGAGCAUCAGAGAACUGAGAGAUAUGUCUUUGAUGUGACUAUAUUGUCCUCUCAGAGAGUUGAUUUCCCUGGAGUGGGGAGUUAUGUUAUGUCUAUAGCUUAUAAAGUUAUUUCAUGUAUUGUAUAGAUGAACAUAGGGAUGGAGGAUACUUUAUCUCACUGUAUCUUUCCUAUAAAGGGGAAAAAUGUUAUUAAGACCUCAAUAUCAAGAAAAUCUGCAUAUACUGAGUAGCAACUGUGGGUGGGUAUGUUUUUGUGUGUACAUGUGAAUAUAUGUGUGCAUGAGAAUAUAAGUAAAUAUGUGAAAGUCAGAGAGAAUAUAUGUGUGUGUGAAACUAUGUGUGUCUAAUUAUUAGUGGAUGUGUUCUAAACAACAUGGUCAAUCUCAAAACUAAUUAUAUGUUUAACUUGGAUUUGGCUACUAAGUUACUCAGAGCUAGAUUUUUGUUUAAUGUGCAGUAACUGUACUCUAACACAUGAUAUAAAUUUCAUGAACUAGUUUUACCUUUACUUUUUCUCACAAAAUAGCUAACGUUAUUUGCCUAAUUUAUCCUGAUUUUCUUAUAUAUUUUUAAUUUAAUGUGUUGUCUUGAUUGUUGUAAUGAAUCUUACAUUUUUUAAUCUCUGGGUGAAAAAGUUGACUUCUAACUGAAUAAAUAAUUAGAGAUGCAGCAUUCACUUUAAAAUUAAAAUAAUAAAAUAUGCUGGGAAGACAAAUGAAGCAGUUGAAAUUCUUUUGUAAAUAAUUAAACUUUAUUGCAUUGUACAGAAUCAUUGCUUCACAAUUCUUGGAUACAUUGUGACACUGUAUUCACAACUUUAGGACACAUUCUUGGUCUACAGCCUUUAUUCAACAUAAUGAAAAUAAACAUUAAUUAGUGUUCACCACACCUCCGGUGCUGUUCCAAGUGUCCUCUAUGAAUUUACAGUCCUACGAGGUAGAUACUGCAAUUAUCCCCAUUUUAAAGAUAAAGAAACUGAGACACAAAGACAUUCUAAUAACUUCUCUAAUUUCAAAAAGCCGACACUUAAUGAAGCCAUGAUUCAAUACCAGUGUUAUUAGUUUCUUUAUAUGACUUUGUUACUUGUACUUGUUAUUUUUAAAGCAAAGGUUAACUUUUCCUUUUUACUAUAAUUUUUAUUUUAUCAUUACAGAAUUACAGGGUUUUUUGGUCGCCUUUUUUUUUUUUUUUUUUUUUGAGACGAAGCCUCUCUCUGUUGC
ensembl:lncRNA